AGCGAACGCUGGCGGCAGGCCUAACACAUGCAAGUCGAACGGACCCUUCGGGGUUAGUGGCGGACGGGUGAGCAACACGUGGGAACGUGCCUUUAGGUUCGGAAUAGCUCCUGGAAACGGGUGGUAAUGCCGAAUGUGCCCUUCGGGGGAAAGAUUUAUCGCCUUUAGAGCGGCCCGCGUCUGAUUAGCUAGUUGGUGAGGUAAUGGCUCACCAAGGCGACGAUCAGUAGCUGGUCUGAGAGGAUGACCAGCCACACUGGGACUGAGACACGGCCCAGACUCCUACGGGAGGCAGCAGUGGGGAAUCUUGCGCAAUGGGCGAAAGCCUGACGCAGCCAUGCCGCGUGAAUGAUGAAGGUCUUAGGAUUGUAAAAUUCUUUCACCGGGGACGAUAAUAACGGUACCCGGAGAAGAAGCCCCGGCUAACUUCGUGCCAGCAGCCGCGGUAA
rnacentral:rRNA from 1 species